rnacentral:rRNA from 1 species
AAGUCGUAACAAGGUUUCCGUAGGUGAACCUGCGGAAGGAUCAUUACUGAAUUGUCAACAUGAAGUUGUUGCUGGCCCUCAGAUGGGGGUAUGUGCACGCUCUGUUUACACAUCCACUCACACCUGUGCACCCUCUGUAGUUCUAUGGUCUGGGGGCUCUGUCCUCCUGCUGUGGUUCUGCGUAUUUAUACAUACACACUGUAAUAAAGUCUCAUGGAAUGUAUGCCGCGUUUAACGCAAUGUAAUACAACUUUCAGCAACGGAUCUCUUGGCUCUCGCAUCGAUGAAGAACGCAGCGAAAUGCGAUAAGUAAUGUGAAUUGCAGAAUUCAGUGAAUCAUCGAAUCUUUGAACGCACCUUGCGCCCUUUGGCUAUUCCGAAGGGCAUGCCUGUUUGAGUAUCAUGAACACCUCAACUCCUCAUGGCUUGCCAUGAUGAGCUUGGACUUGGGGGUCUUGCUGGCCUGUGGUCAGCUCCUCUCAAAUGAAUCAGCUUGCCAGUGAUUGGUGGCACCACAGGUGUGAUAAACAUCUACGCUUGUGGUUCCCCACCAUGUAACCUUUAGCGAUAGAGGUUCGCUGGAGCUCACAAAUGUCUUUCCUCAGUGAAGACAGCUCUUUGAUUGUUGAUCUC